AAGUCGUAACAAGGUUUCCGUAGGUGAACCUGCGGAAGGAUCAUUAAAGGACUGGAUUUGUGUUGUUGCUGUCUUUGUGCGAAGUAUGUGCACCACAAAUCAACUCUUCUUAAUUAACCACUGUGCACUUUUUGUGGACCCUCAGCAGAAAGCGGUCAGAGUCUUUGCGCUUAACACGCGCUAGACUUUUUUUGGCUUAAUCUAUGCGCUUAGCAAAGCGCUAGACGUGCUUAUAUGCGCAUAUAUGCGGGGGUUUCACGUUUUUUUACUACACACUAUUAUAAAACUUUAGAAUGUAUCGUUAGAGUUGGGACUCGCGCCCUUCUUUAAACAAUGUUAAUACAACUUUCGACAACGGAUCUCUUGGCUCUC
rnacentral:misc_RNA from 1 species